UUGCGAGUUCAGUGGGUGACAGCACAGGGGCCUUCACUUCCUCUUCUAGCCCAGGAAAAUUGUGAUCAGGCUGCAGGCCACCUGCCCGUUUCUCUGCAGCAGGAAGUGGAUUGAGCGUCUAUGAGGGCCAGACUCCCGCAUUUAUCAUCCAGUUAGGCCUAAUCAAAAUGUUUUCCGUUUCACCUGAAAUGCUCUCCUGGACCCUGGGUUCUGUGAGACACAGUUUAAUAGUCUGAGGAUGAAAGAACACCUAGAUGCAGUUCCCUCCCUCAAGUUUUCCAAAUUGACACUACUGCACUUUUUCAUGUGGCCCAGAGGAUCCUCCUUUCUGCCCUGGAUGAAGAGGACAACGUUUCUUAGUUCCACUGACGUGAGAUUGACUAUUAUAAGGAAGAUGCGCCUUAUUUUGGAUAUUGCAAGGAAAGACUUGAAAAAAAAAACUUGACUGAC
rnacentral:lncRNA from 1 species